UACGAAGGGGGGCUAGCGUUGCUCGGAAUCACUGGGCGUAAAGCGCACGUAGGCGGCUUAGCAAGUCGGAAGUGAAAUCCCUCGGCUCAACCAAGGAAGUGCUUUCGAAACUGCUGAGCUUGAGUACUUAAGAGGAUCGCGGAAUUCCCGGUGUAGAGGUGAAAUUCGUAGAUAUCGGGAGGAACACCAGUGGCGAAGGCGGCGAUCUGGGAAGAUACUGACGCUGAGGUGCGAAAGCGUGGGGAGCAAACAGG
rnacentral:rRNA from 1 species